UGUCCGUUAGCUCAGUUGGUAGAGCGCCAGUUUAGCGUCCUGGUGGUCGCAGGUUCGAGUCCUGCACGGGCUA